GAUGAACGCUGGCGGCGUGCCUAAUACAUGCAAGUCGAGCGAACGGACGAGAAGCUUGCUUUUCUGAUGUUAGCGGCGGACGGGUGAGUAACACGUGGAUAACCUACCUAUAAGACUGGGAUAACUUCGGGAAACCGGAGCUAAUACCGGAUAAUAUUUUGAACCGCAUGGUUCAAAAGUGAAAGACGGUCUUGCUGUCACUUAUAGAUGGAUCCGCGCUGCAUUAGCUAGUUGGUAAGGUAACGGCUUACCAAGGCAACGAUGCAUAGCCGACCUGAGAGGGUGAUCGGCCACACUGGAACUGAGACACGGUCCAGACUCCUACGGGAGGCAGCAGUAGGGAAUCUUACGCAAUGGGCGAAAGCCUGACGGAGCAACGCCGCGUGAGUGAUGAAGGUCUUCGGAUCGUAAAACUCUGUUAUUAGGGAAGAACAUAUGUGUAAGUAACUGUGCACAUCUUGACGGUACCUAAUCAGAAAGCCACGGCUAGCUACGUG
rnacentral:rRNA from 1 species